rnacentral:tmRNA from 3 species
GGGGGUGUCAAGGUUUCGACUAGGAGAUCGGCUUCCGAUUGGUCUGCAAGCAGAGCGCGCAACUCUUAAAACUACGCAACAAUUUAAAUGCCAAAAAGAAUGAUACAGUAACCAUGAAUUUGGGUGCUGCUAACAUGGCAAUCGCUGCUUAAUUUAAUAUAGCGCGACGGGUCUCUAAACACGCGGUUUUGAGGGAAUAGAGACUUGACACAUUAACCAAAACUCACGAGAUGGAGCAACAUGCCUCUACUCUCGGACAUUCAUAGCAUGUUGUAGCCGAAUGAGGGUUAGAUGGUUUCCCUAACAUUUGGCGAACACGUAACAAUCAUCUAAGCUUGUAGAGGGCUCUUCGGGCACUUUUAGGACGCGGGUUCGAUUCCCGCCACCUCCAUUU